rnacentral:rRNA from 1 species
CGAUGCGGAGGAAAAGAAACCAACAGGGAUUGCCUUAGUAACGGCGAGUGAAGCGGCAAAAGCUCAAAUUUGAAAUCUGGCACCUUCGGUGUCCGAGUUGUAAUUUGAAGAAGGUAACUUUGGAGUUGGCUCUUGUCUAUGUUCCUUGGAACAGGACGUCACAGAGGGUGAGAAUCCCGUGCGAUGAGAUGCCCAAUUCUAUGUAAAGUGCUUUCGAAGAGUCGAGUUGUUUGGGAAUGCAGCUCUAAGUGGGUGGUAAAUUCCAUCUAAAGCUAAAUAUUGGCGAGAGACCGAUAGCGAACAAGUACAGUGAUGGAAAGAUGAAAAGAACUUUGAAAAGAGAGUGAAAAAGUACGUGAAAUUGUUGAAAGGGAAGGGCUUGAGAUCAGACUUGGUAUUUUGCGAUCCUUUCCUUCUUGGUUGGGUUCCUCGCAGCUUACUGGGCCAGCAUCGGUUUGGAUGGUAGGAUAAUGACUAAGGAAUGUGGCUCUACUUCGGUGGAGUGUUAUAGCCUUGGUUGAUACUGCCUGUCUAGACCGAGGACUGCGUCUUUUGACUAGGAUGUUGGCAUAAUGAUCUUAAGCCACCCGUCUUGA